UUGCAGACUACACGCUCGAUAAAUACUUAUUGAUUCAUUGAUUUCUUCCUGGGCUAGUGUUGCCAAGAAUUAAACUCUCUGCACAAUGGCUACACUAUAGGGCUAUAGGCUGCCUGUCUUUCCACCUCCAAGGGACUAGAGCUUCGGAAGUCUGACCAGUGGUUCUCUGGCCAAGAAUAGCUCAAGAUUUAUGCUCCAUGUUGGACAGACCUCCUCUGCCUGGAUGCUGCGUCUGAGAAAAUUGUGUAAUCCUACCCUGGCUUUACCCAGCUCUGUGCCUGGGGUUCACUGGCACUCCAAUUUGCCAAGAAGUGCCAGGUCAGCCCUUCCCAGGGAAUUGUGCAGUCAAGGCACAGCUAAGACCAGUAAGCAAUCAACACUAACAAUGCGUUCGUGGGGGUGCCCGGUUGCUAAUGGCUGAGCUCCAGGCUGUGGAUUAUGGUGGAAAGGUAAUUCCUGAAGAGGUUUUUGAUCCUCGGGCCCCAAUCGGAAAUCUGGGGGGUUUCAUAAGAUAUCCCCAAAUUAUAUGGUUGCUGUGGGAGUUGCUAUAAAGAGGUACCUGAAAAUGGAGAUACAGAGAUGGAAAAUGUCUUUACAGUCACUGUCUUCUCAAAAUAGGGGUGUGGGGGUGCCAAUAGGUUAAGAAGUCACUAGAGUAUGAAAUACCCCUUGGAUAGAACCAUCUCAGGGUACCUGAGGGGGUGAUGUGAGACUUCACGGGCUUUCCAGGAGCUUGCCUGUCACUAGGAACGCCACCGGAGAACAAGUGAGCAGUCUUCCAAAGCCAUGGUGCAAAGAUGCCAACAGUCAACUGCACCACAGACAGACAGACAGAACACCCCCACUCAGCUGGCACAGGGUCCAACUGCUGCUUUGCAAAAAUUCUGUUAUUUCAGCCUCUGAAAUCCCUUCCCCUGGGUCGCAAAGCUUCUCUUUAUUGUUAUAAACAGAAACAACAUAUGGA